UGCUCUUCCAAUCUCACCAAACAAACAAAACAACACAAAAAUGUAAGACAAACGAAAAAUGGACCUUGACUGUAACUUCAUCAUGAGGACUGAUGACCUGCCCUUAGUCUGACCCAUCACCCAGGACCUGGUUGCCAUGGGAGACCCUGCCAGGGGCAUAAAGCCCCGGACAAUAUAGCUCCUGGGAUCACGCGGGCACUCAAACUCCCCCACCACUUUAAG